UGGGGAAUAUUGGACAAUGGGCGAAAGCCUGAUCCAGCCAUGCCGCGUGUGUGAAGAAGGUCUUCGGAUUGUAAAGCACUUUAAGUUGGGAGGAAGGGCAGUAAGCGAAUACCUUGCUGUUUUGACGUUACCGACAGAAUAAGCACCGGCUAACUCUGUGCCAGCAGCCGCGGUAAUACAGAGGGUGCAAGCGUUAAUCGGAAUUACUGGGCGUAAAGCGCGCGUAGGUGGUUCGUUAAGUUGAAUGUGAAAGCCCCGGGCUCAACCUGGGAACUGCAUCCAAAACUGGCGAGCUCGAGUAGGGCAGAGGGUGGUGGAAUUUCCUGUGUAGCGGUGAAAUGCGUAGAUAUAGGAAGGAACACCCGUGGCGAAGGCGACCACCUGUGCUCAUACUGACACUGAGGUGCGAAAGCGUGGGGAGCAAACAGG
rnacentral:rRNA from 1 species